rnacentral:rRNA from 1 species
GACGAACGCUGGCGGCGUGCUUAACACAUGCAAGUCGAACGGAAAGGCCCUGCUUUUGUGGGGUGCUCGAGUGGCGAACGGGUGAGUAACACGUGAGUAACCUGCCCUUGACUUUGGGAUAACUUCAGGAAACUGGGGCUAAUACCGGAUAGGAGCUCCUGCUGCAUGGUGGGGGUUGGAAAGUUUCGGCGGUUGGGGAUGGACUCGCGGCUUAUCAGCUUGUUGGUGGGGUAGUGGCUUACCAAGGCUUUGACGGGUAGCCGGCCUGGGAGGGUGACCGGCCACAUUGGGACUGAGAUACGGCCCAGACUCCUACGGUAGGCAGCAGUGGGGAAUAUUGCACAAUGGGCGGAAGCCUGAUGCAGCAACCCCGCGUGCGGGAUGACGGCCUUCGGGUUGUAAACCGCUUUCGCCUGUGACGAAGCGUGAGUGACGGUAAUGGGUAAAGAAGCACCGGCUAACUACGUG